rnacentral:rRNA from 1 species
GACGAACGCUGGCGGCGUGCCUAAUACAUGCAAGUCGAACGAGAGCGACCGGUGCUUGCACUGGUCAAUCUAGUGGCGAACGGGUGAGUAACACGUGGGUAACCUGCCCAUCAGAGGGGGAUAACAUCCGGAAACGGAUGCUAAAACCGCAUAGGUCUUCGAGCCGCAUGGCUUGAAGAGGAAAAGAGGCGCAAGCUUCUGCUGAUGGAUGGACCCGCGGUGCAUUAGCUAGUUGGUGAGGUAACGGCUCACCAAGGCCGUGAUGCAUAGCCGACCUGAGAGGGUGAUCGGCCACAUUGGGACUGAGACACGGCCCAAACUCCUACGGGAGGCAGCAGUAGGGAAUCUUCCGCAAUGGACGCAAGUCUGACGGAGCAACGCCGCGUGAGUGAAGAAGGUUUUCGGAUCGUAAAACUCUGUUGUUAGAGAAGAACAAGUGCUAGAGUAACUGUUAGCGCCUUGACGGUAUCUAACCAGAAAGCCACGGCUAACUACGUG